rnacentral:misc_RNA from 1 species
GCCACCACCUCCACCACCACCAAAUCCUCCGCCUCCACCUCCACCUAGACCACCUCCGGCCCCUCCACCUCCACCAAAACCACCUCCAGCACCACCACCUAAUCCUCCUCCACCACCAGCACCACCACCAAAUCCACCACCUCCACCAACUCCUCCUCCGGCACCACCACCUACUCCUCCACCAGCUCCACCACCACCACCUAGUCCUCCUCCGGCUCCACCACCACCUCCUAGUCCACCACCACCACCAAGUCCACCACCUUUA